GGGGUUAUGGCUCAGUGGUAGAGCAUGUGCUUGGUAUGCACGAGGAACUGGGUUCAAUCCCCAGCACCUCCG
rnacentral:tRNA from 1 species